GAUGAAGAACGUAGCGAAAUGCGAUAAGUAAUGUGAAUUGCAGAAUUCAGUGAAUCAUCGAAUCUUUGAACGCACAUUGCGCCCCCUGGUAUUCCGGGGGGCAUGCCUGUCCGAGCGUCAUUACAACCCUCAAGCUCAGCUUGGUGUUGGGCCCCGCCGCCCCGGCGGGCCCUAAAGUCAGUGGCGGUGCCGUCCGGCUCCGAGCGUAGUAAUUCUUCUCGCUCUGGAGGUCCGGUCGUGUGCUCGCCAGCAACCCCCAAUUUUUUCAGGUUGACCUCGGAUCAGGUAGGGAUACCCACUGAACUUAAGCAUAUCAAUAAGCGGAGGA
rnacentral:misc_RNA from 1 species